CCCUCCAGCAAGGGGAGAACAGUACAGGUAGAGGCAGGAGCUGCAGACUGCACUUGGCUCCCAGCGACUAUGUAACUCAGGGUUGGGGUGGAGGUCCCAGAUGGCUGGAAUGGGCAGCGUCAGGGGCCUUGCACAACCCGGACCACAUGACCAGUCCAAAAGUCUCUGUGGCAACAGAUAAAGAGGGGGUAGCCUUUCUUAUCUGAAGAAAUGGGACAUUUGGCCAAGGCUGUCACAUACAGAACCUGGCUUCUCCUUCUCAGGGUUCAUUCCUGUGCUCUCAUGCCACAGACCAGGAACUGCGGUGAGCAUGAGAAGGGAUGUGCAGUCUGUGCUCCAGGAAGAGGUCCAUGGAUGUUCAGAGCCUCCGGGACACAUGCAGGAGUGAAAACUGAGGUGUGGACUACACAGUAGAAGUUUUAUUGAUGUGAAAAGUUCCUCUCCCAAAAUAGGGGCUCAGGUCCUUGUGGGAAAGGGUGGCUGAAGCCAGCUCCAAUGUACCAUGGUGACAGCUCUUGAUGCUUGGGCCAUGCCUGGCACCUGGCCAUGUUUCCCGGGAGCCAGUGGGUAGCCCUUGAUUAUGACAAUACCAAGCACUAGAAAGUGUGGCAGGAGCUCCUGGUAUUCAUAGAAAGGACAGGGCUUCAGGAGGGCAGAGGCUGGUGGUGCCUCUAGGGAAGCAUGGAGUCAGCUGAUGACAAGAGUGUGGCCUGACCUGUACAAGCAGAAAACAAUGGAGAAUGGGUACCCAGAAGACAGAACCUCAGCUCUCAUCAGCUACGAGAUCAGAGCCUUAUUACAGAUUCAGAGCCCAGGGAAUACAUGGAGAGCAGAUCCCCUGAGAAAAAAUAACACCACAUGGAUGGAUCACAGAUAUUUUCCAAUUUUCUCCUGGAACCCACACCUUCACAAUGGUAACUGCACCUGCAGAAAGAGAGAAACUCUGGCCUCUUGAGGAUGGCGGAUAUGAGGCCUGAGGUAACACUGAUCCCAAGGACCGUGAUGCCUUCAUGGGUUCCCAGUGAUGUGGGUGGUGGAGGAAGUCCCGCCUCCUGAAUACAGAGCGUGCCAGGUCCUGCAGCCACCAGCUUCCAUGCCAGGCUCCUUCACCCAGCAGGCAGAGGCAGCACGUGGGACUCAGGACCACACCUACACCUCAGCUGAGCCAUCAGCAAGAAGCACCUUGUCCCAUUAGAAGGCUCAGAAAUCAUCACCAGCUGCUCACAGGAUUGGGUGAUGUCCCUGGAUCCCCACUCUGUUUACUUGGAGACCCCCAAGAAGGAGCCAGCCACUCACAGCAGAUGCUGGGAACAAUACCUACCAUCUUAGUGACCCCAGAAGCAGCUGCUAUGCCAGACACAGGACCUUCACUGCACAGACUGGCAAAGGUUCUUGGAGACAAGCUGGGAGCAGCAGGAGCUGUGAGGGAUGCAGGGCCUGGCAAGGUGAGAGGAGGUGCCCCAAGCCUGCUCCCAUCAGGAACAAGGCCAGGCUACACCCAGAUCUUCUGUGUUUAGCACCGGACACUUAAAAGAUAAGUAUUGUGAUGGUUUGGAUAAGUAAUCUCCAAAGGCCAUGUGUUAAAUGCUUAGUCCUGGGGCUGUGGCACUCCUGGGAGGUGGUGGGACCUUUAAGGUGUGCAGCCUAGUUGGAGAAAGUUAGAUAACUGGAUAGGACAUGCCUUCAAAGAGGUCUUGGGACCUGGACCCUUCCUCUCUGUCUUUGCUUCCUGGCCACCAUCAAGUGAGCAACCUUCUCUGCCAUCCAUUCCCACUAUGAUGUGCUGCCUCACGACAGGCCCAAAGCAAUGGGGCCCAUUGAUUGUGGACAGAAACCUCUGAGCCAAAAACCCUUUCUUCCCUUGAUUACCUGAGGUAUUUUGUUAGAGUAAUGGAAAACUGACUGAUGCCACAAACACUGAUGCCAACAAAUAUGCAAGCAGUGCAGGCAAGGACAGACAGACAAGGGCAGCAUGUGUCCCUGGGUAAACUGGACUCAAUAGCACUUGGAAGAGCAUUUGGAAUGAUGUGCAAUGUGGGGGGUCAGGGGAAAGAGGCUGCUGAAAUUCCUCCCCAGGAUAUUGGAACCAAACCUGAGGGGCUAAUGGGGUCAGGAGCCCAGUACCCAUAGGCAGAAGGCUAAUUACUGGACCCCAUGCUCCCAGGUAUCUGACAGCCCCGAGGGACACAGACCCUGGCAGAGAGAAGAAUGAGGGAAUUCUCAAAACCAAGGUGCCAAGGGCAGCUCAUCAGGCUUCUGCAUUAGCUCCUUAGGUUUCCAAGUUCAGACAGAAUUUCUAAGAUGUGAAACAAAGACACGAAAGAACAGACAGACAGCGAGAACAAGCAUUAAUUAAAAUCGAGGCUCGUGGCAACUCAUAUGGCUCAGACCCCACAAGCUGGCGCGGCAAGAUUUCGAAUGCGCGCCUAUCCUCUGGCACGCCUUUCCUCUGUCUUCCUGAGCUGAUUCCAUCAUGGCCUUCAGGCUUUUUGGCAAAGCCUACCCAGUUUUAAUUUCCUUCCAAAUGUUGAAGAAAGAACAGCACUGCAUUCUAAUUUACUCAUACGGCUCCUCAGACCACAUGCUCCCAGAGCUGUGCUCAGGACAAGUCACUGAGUGCAAGGCCCUGAGCACUCCACUGGCACAGGCGGGAGGGGGCACUUCUCACUGACACUUGGACAGUCCACUUGGCACUCGCUUCACCCUCUCUGAGCUAUUGGUGGGGACCCCGAGAAGAGUCUGUGCUUGUGAUAGUGAUCUGUUUUCUUUCCUACCAGGGAAUGAACUCCUGUGGACAAAGAACCAAGUAUCCACCUCCCAGGUACGGAGUCCAACUUUCCGAGUGGCUGCUCUGGCUCCUGGGGAAACAGAAGAAAAAAGACAAACCCAGAAGCCCUAAGAAAUCUGGCAUAGUGAACCCCCAAACAGCCAUAGCCCUCUGCAUACACCCAGAGGAUCCUCAAAUGAGAGGGGUGUGUAGGCAUCCUCCCCAAAGAGUUAAAGAUGUCAUAUUACCAUGAUACAUGCAUACGCAUGUUCAUAACAGCUCAAUUCACAAUAGCGAAAUCUUGGGAGCAGCUUGUAUGUCUAUCGACAGAUAAAUGAAUAAAGAAA